UAAAGGAUAACCCCCAGAUAAGUGUAGUACUCCUAGUGGUAGAGACGGCUUAUAUUUUUUCAUCCAUAUAAGCGCUCUAACCACUAGAAGAUACUCUGCUUAUAGAGUCUUCAGGAUCUUC
rnacentral:precursor_RNA from 15 species